rnacentral:rRNA from 1 species
UUCAUGACUGGGGUGAAGUCGUAACAAGGUAGCGCUAGGGGAACCUGGCGCUGGAUCACCUCCUUACACGA